UGGUUUUUAUUAUAAGCCGCAACUUUUGAGAGGGGUUUUUCUUUAUAUUAAGUUGG
rnacentral:tRNA from 1 species